AAGCGUAUCAACACAACUGAUAUCCUCCUCCAGCUCCAACUGAUACCGGAAUAAUAUAUCAGAAACCUUACCUUGCAUCACAAGCCCCUUCUCCGCACCGGUGGUAUGUAGAAGGACGUGCGCAAGCCUUGAGCUACCCAUAUACCCUCCGAACUUAAAAUCGAGACCCAACGUCGCCCCAACGCGCCUUAGGCGCGUCUGCGCCGCCUCGGUCAUCUUGGGCCCCAUCUUCCGGAGCAUCCGGUCUGGAUAUUAUAUUGUGUUGUGAAUAAUGAGGUAAUUUUUCGUGCGCCGGGUGGGGGUUAUUUGAGUGCAUUGUUUAUAAAUGAAAGAUAUUUUAAGGGAGGACGGGGCGGCGGGAGCUGGCGGAUAUCUUACCGUGGAUAAUUAUGCUCUCGCUGGGGGGUUCUUGGUCUAUGAAGUAAGGCUUCCAUGACAGUUGGAAGUCAUCCUUGGAGCCCCCUGGGUAUGUCUUUUGGUAAAGGGAAAUGGCCUUUUGGAGGUCGCGGUAGCCGAUGAAGCACUAUUUUCUUUGCAUAUGAGUAGAUAACCGAAAAGUUUGGUCCAGUGUUUUUUUGUGGAAGGGGGCCAGACAGCGUGCUCACCCAGGGACAUAUCGCGUCUGAAAUGAUAUCGAUUUUAAUCACUGCCAUUGCUUGGUCAUGCGAGGAGAAUACGAGCUAUUCCCCGUGCUUCUCAGGGCUUUCUGGUAGUCUCUAUGCUCUGUUCUUUGUGUCCUCUCUGCUACAAUACUUCCCAGCUCAUGGAGACAGAAGUCUGAAUUGGGCUUAACGGCUUUAUUGAACAAGAGACGAUUUGAUGGAUGUGGAAGGUUAGUACUCGUUACUUCUAUCCAGCUUGCGCGGCCCUCCUUAUCUAAAUAACUAGUUAGGGGUUGGUUAAGUGGAACUAGCGGACGAUAGGGUGCCAACACCAUUCUUGUAUUAUAUUUAUUUACUGAACAGCUCGGGACGCAGAGUUGACAACUAACUAGAAGACAUUCAUGGUUCAUCAUUGUCGCCCUUGAGUCCUAAGGCUUUUAUUAUGGUCCUUUUCAUUAAUUCUGCUCGGAUAUUCUUCCAGUCCUUCCUCUGCUGGGCGAUUCCGAGGUUCCGCCAUCUCUUCCAUCCAGGCACAAACAACACCUGCCACUACAUACCAGUCAUAAUCCCACUACUUCACGUUAUCUGCUCCGGCUGCCCUUUUUUUUAAUCUGCGACUGAGGUUCCCCAAACCCUCAGCUUCGCUGCCUCGCCAGCUAUCCAUUCACUACUACCCUUGGAAGCGAGAAGCUCUGUUGACGCGGCUAUUCUCCAACGUUUCUUCUGCUGUAUUUUAUGGAACAUAGAUAUCCCUUUUUUUUUUUAUGAAUUGAAUUGAUGGUAUGAUGAUAUAAAGGCUCAGAUAUAAUAUUCAUUCAUGCCAAAUGUCAAACAUCAUUAUUUCUUCACUUACAACACUCUCAGCAAUGGCCAGAGCCAUCCUCUGAUCUGUGAUAUCUAUCACAUCGGCAGAAGCAUCUCUGAGGUUCAGAAGCUUCUCAGUAAAUGCAAAUAUCAGAGCAGAAAUAUCCACUGACAAGCGAUAAAUGAUAUAUCUAUCACUUCUGAUAGAGCCCCAAUGAUCAAUACCGAUAUGAGGUUGUGAAGUGACUCUCUAUCUCAAACACUGAGCAUCCAAAAAAAAAAAAAAAAAAAAGUUAACUGGAAUCAUUGAUGCUCAGACAAUUCACGAAGAAUUGAUGAGAAUUCUCUUUUAAGAACUCGUGACGCUAUUCAGAUUGAGUUAAGUACUUGUGCAAUUUCUUCAUGGAAUGGCUAAGUUUUCGCGCAAGGUCGGGUCCAUUGGAACUAUCCAGCGGGCACAGCGAUGCUCUAAUAGGUGUGGUCACGUGGCAUUCUAGCGAGCAUUCGGCAUUGCCAGCAUACAGCGUACGCAGUAGUGUUAGUUUAUAGGCUUGAUUUAGUAGUUUAGCCUGCCAGGCACACUCUCAAAUGAAAUGGAAGAACCCUCGCUUAACAUUUCCGUGUCUCCGGGUCCUGGUAACAGUUUUUUUUUUGAGUAAAUAUGACUAGAUCUUCUUAACAUGGUGUCGACAGUUGGAAGGGAAGUGUAUGCUAAAACAUGCAAUUCAAAGAAGGAAUAAUUUUACAUCAAGGUUAUAUAAUUGCUGCAAUGUCGUCCAAGUUCAAUAAGAAAAUGACUAUUACUGCUUGAAGGAUGCAGGUAAUCCUCCUCAUUGCCCUUUAUCAUAUUCUCACAGCGAGGUUGGUCACCGUUGGCUUUGUCAACAAACUGAUGCAUUAUUGAGCACACAGUAUGAGACGGAUAUAAUCUGAUAUUAUUCACAGUUUAGUGACACAGGAGACUGGAUAUAUAUAUUCUGGGUGAUGAUGCAAUUUUGAGAUCAUAUAGUGAAUCUGGUGAGGUGCUUGAUUUUGCAAGAUUUAACAGCACUCAGCUGCAUUUUAUUACCACUGGUUUUCAGAGGAGCAUCGGGAUCAUUUAUUGGAUCUGGAAGAAUGUUGACAAUUCGUUGGUUGACGACCGGCAGAUCUGGUAUCCUCCUGAUCACUUGAAAUUUCAUCCUUCCCAAUUACCAAAUGACAAGGAAUCCCGGUCUACGGGGUCGUUCACCUGCACCGCCAUUUCAUGCGCUUUGUGAGCAAAUGUGGUGUGAUUCGCAUGCUUUCUAUCUGCUCCGGGCUUGUUCAUAUUGCUUUAUGAUCAAUCGAGUGGGUGAUCCCCAUUGCGUUCUCGUUAGCCAAAGAUAGUACGGCAGCCGUUCGUGACAAAUGUGACAACUGGGUUUUUUUUGUGUUUUUCCACUUAUAGACACUUAUCAAUAGAAAUUUAUAUCAAGAGUUUGUCUACCGC
rnacentral:sRNA from 1 species